UUUCCGUAGGUGAACCUGCGGAAGGAUCAUUACAGAGUUCAUGCCCUUACGGGUAGAUCUCCCACCCUUGAGUACUAUACUUAGUUGCUUUGGCAGGCUGCUUCGGCAGCUGGCUUCGGCCAGUCACGCCUGCCAAAGGAUACCUAAACUCUGAAUUAUUGUGUCGUCUGAGUACUAUAUAAUAGUUAAAACUUUCAACAACGGAUCUCUUGGUUCUGGCAUCGAUGAAGAACGCAGC
rnacentral:misc_RNA from 1 species